rnacentral:rRNA from 1 species
AAGGACGAAGGCCCUCUGGGUUGUAAACUUACUUUUAUCUGGGCGAAAAAAGGGCUUUUAAGCUCACUUGACGGUACCAGAGGAAUAAGCACCGGCUAACUCCGUGC